UACAAAAACCGAGAUCGUCGAGCUUCCAUAUAUGGCCGAACGCAAGCAAAGGGCUCCUGUAAGAGUUGAGGUGGUGAGGGACUAUGGCGAGGGUAAGCUGAUGACUAGGCCCUUAAGUCCCGGGGAAUGGCGGGAGAGUUCAAGUCCUGUUCGGUAUCAUACUGAAGAGAAAUGGAAUAAGCCUUCUAGACCCGUUCAGUAUGACGUCGAAGAGAAAUGGAAUAAGCCAUCGAGUCCUGUUCGGUAUCGUGUCGAAGAGAAAUGGAAUAAGCCCUCUAGUCCUGUUCGGUAUCGUGUCGAAGAGAAAUGGAAUAAGCCAUCUAGUCCUGUUGGUUAUGGUGUCGAAGAGAAAUGGAGUAGGCCUUCGAGUCCUGUUCGGUACCAUGUCGAAGAGAAAUGGACGAACCGGCCUUCAAGUCCGGUUAAGGAACGUCCACAACAAGUUCCGGAUUUCAUUACCAAAGUUCAAACUCAAG
rnacentral:lncRNA from 1 species